rnacentral:snRNA from 1 species
AGCUUUGCGCAGUGGCGUAUUUGUAGCCUAUGAGGUUUAAUCCGAGGCGCGAUUAUUGCUAUGAAAACUUUACCCAAUAACCCCGCCUUGACGACUUGAAUAUAGUCGGCUAUGGCAAUUUUUUGUCAGUCUCUCAGGAGA